AUAGCGUAUAUUAAAGUUGUUGCAGUUAAAAAGCUCGUAGUUGAAUUUCGGGAUCAAUUAAUUGGUCGUUCCUCUGGUACGUACUGAUUUUAUUGGUUUCUCCCUUCUGACGAACCAUGAUGUCAUUAAUUUGGUGUCGUGGAGAAUCAGGACUGUUACUUUGAAAAAAUUAGAGUGUUUAAAGCAAGCUAACGCUUGAAUACAUUAGCAUGGAAUAAUGAAAUAGGACGUUUGAUCCUAUUUUGUUGGUUUCUAGGAUCGACGUAAUGAUUAAUAGGGAUAGUUGGGGGCAUUAGUAUUCAAUUGUCAGAGGUGAAAUUCUUGGAUUUAUUGAAGACUAACUACUG
rnacentral:rRNA from 1 species